GCUCACUGGUUUAUGCUACGGCUUCAUCUAUGGCAAAGAAGACAGAAAUAGCCUAACAUGUGCCUGGGAAGACAAGGUGUGACUGGUGGACAGUGAGUUACAUGGUCACCCUGCCCACGAGGGAGAGAUGCCUGUGCAUGGUUAAACACCUGGCCAUAUGAGAGAUGGUGUUACUCUCAUAUGGAGGAUCCUAGAGGAUGUUGUAUAUCACAGAAAACCCACUAUACUGCUGGCCUUUAGACAAGAAAUUGAAAAUGCAUGUGCAGCAAUCUCAGUGACCAAGAUUACCAAGCAGCAGUUUGCUGUACUAAUAAAUGUCUAGAAG